rnacentral:misc_RNA from 1 species
UCUCCGUAGGUGAACCUGCGGAGGGAUCAUUCACAUGAUUUACUUUAUAAACAAACUGUGGACUUUAUUAUCAUACUAUUCUUGUAGGGAUUAUUUUAUAAUCUUUUACAACGUCAUUCGAUGAACAUUAGAUAGUUGGCUUGUUUUUUUUUAAUAAAAAACUUUCUCAGCUGAUUUGUAUGUUAGACUAAACAUCUAUUCAAUCAAUCAACCAAAAACAUAGAAACAACUCUAUGCCCUGGAUAUCUUGGUUCUC